rnacentral:rRNA from 1 species
UACAGAGUUCAUGCCCUCACGGGUAGAUCUCCCACCCUAUGUUAUCGUUACCUUUGUUGCUUUGGCGGGCCGUCAGGCCCUCGGUCAGGCUACCGGCUUCGGCUGGUAAGCGCCCGCCAGAGGACCCUAAACUCUGAAUAUUAGUGUCGUCUGAGUACUAUAUAAUAGUUAAAACUUUCAACAACGGAUCUCUUGGUUCUGGCAUCGAUGAAGAACGCAGCGAAAUGCGAUAAGUAAUGUGAAUUGCAGAAUUCAGUGAAUCAUCGAAUCUUUGAACGCACAUUGCGCCCCUUGGUAUUCCGGGGGGCAUGCCUGUUCGAGCGUCAUUACAACCCUCAAGCCUGGCUUGGUAUUGGGCCUCGCCGUUCUGGCGGGCCUUAAAAUCAGUAACAGUGUCGUCGAGGCCCUGAGCGUAGUACAUAUCCUCGCUAUAGGGACUUCCACGGCCAUUAACCCUCACUUUCUAAGUUUGACCUCGGAUCAGGUAGGGAUACCCGCUGAACUUAAGCAUAUCAAUAAGCGGAGGAA